GCUUGUGGCCAUUCCACCCUAAACAUGUCUGAUCUUAGAACCUAAGCAGGGUCAGGCCUGGAUUAAUACUUGGGUGGGAGACCUCCUGGGAAUACUGGGUGCUGAAACCC
ensembl:rRNA 5S_rRNA 5S ribosomal RNA